CCUACGGGUGGCUGCAGUGAGGAAUAUUGGGCAAUGGAGGCAACUCUGACCCAGCCAUGCCGCGUGAGUGAAGAAGGUUUUCGGAUUGUAAAGCUCUUUCGGAUGUGACGAUGAUGACGGUAGCAUCUAAAGAAGCCCCGGCUAACUCCGUGCCAGCAGCCGCGGUAAUACGGAGGAUCCAAGCGUUAUCCGGAUUUAUUGGGUUUAAAGGGUGCGUAGGCGGAUUGAUAAGUUAGAGGUGAAAUGUCCGAGCUUAACUCGGGAACUGCCUCUAAUACUGUUGAUCUAGAGAGUAGAUGCGGUAGGCGGAAUGUAUGGUGUAGCGGUGAAAUGCUUAGAGAUCAUACAGAACACCGAUUGCGAAGGCAGCUUACCAAUCUAUAUCUGACGUUGAGGCACGAAAGCGUGGGGAGCAAACAGGAUUAGAUACCCUUGUAGUC
rnacentral:rRNA from 1 species